GCUUGCAAAACGAGGAGCACCGACGUUUGUAAUAAGGCCGCAAGUAGGUUCAGAACGUGAAAAAAAUAAAAAAAAUUCGAGUUGUAAUUUAAUUUUUUUUCCUUCCUUGUAUUUACCUUACUAUUGUAUUGGAGUAUCACAAAAAAAAAAAUCAAAAUUCAAAAAAAAAUUUGAAAAAAAAAAGAAAAAAAGAAGUGAGCAAAAAAAAAGAGUAAAAAAAAGAAGAAAAAAAGAAGUGAAAAGUCUUGCGAGUUUUAUUUUCAUCUCUUAUUACUCCGAUCAUCAAGUAUCCCUUCCUACCAUUAUUUAUCCAUCCCAACGCCACACUUUAAACCAAUUUUUUUCUUUGUUCAGCCUACCUUACACCUGACAUUAUCCCUUGUAACCCAUUUUGAAACCGACCCUCAAGCAGUAAAUUAAGUCUACCGAGACGAAUUACGAAUUUGCGAGACGAGGUCGAGUGGUAAAAGGCAAGAGAGCGUGAGUUCAUUCGAGAGAAGAAAAGCCAAAUAAGAGUGAAACACGAGUGGUGUGCCAUUUAUUAUUUUCUUUGCGACAGAACUUGUGAGAUUUUGUGGUGAGGAUUAUUUUUCUUUCUAAUUUAUCUUUUGUUUUCUAACAUUUUGUUGAAACAUGUCCGAAGAAUUUUCUGAAUGUGAAUUCCAAGUAUGGAAGCGAGAAAUGUAAAGGAUAAUACGAUCUAAAUUCCG
rnacentral:lncRNA from 1 species